rnacentral:rRNA from 1 species
UCUGGUGGCCAUGGCUGCGGUGACCCACCCGUUCCCAUACCGAACACGGAAGUGAAACCCGCAUGCGCCGACGAUACUCGAUGGGAAACCGUCCGGGAAAAUAGGUCGCCGCCAGGA